UGAAACACAGAACCCAGUACAUUUUAUUUUUUUCAAGAGAGCUGAUGGCUGCUGAAAAUCAGUAAAAAAUAAUUUGGAAGUUCCAGUUCUAUGACGUGUACCUUUCGAAAUAAGAAAGGUCGGCAAACAGCCGUUAUCUGUUAGCAAGAGCAACACUGAUCAUGUGUUGAACUCGGGUGGUACCGCGAAUGUUAGACUGAUUCGUCCCAAGA
rnacentral:ncRNA from 1 species